CCUACGGGUGGCUGCAGUGAGGAAUAUUGGUCAAUGGAGGCAACUCUGAACCAGCCAUGCCGCGUGCAGGAUGAAGGCCCUAUGGGUCGUAAACUGCUUUUAUACCAGAGAAAACCCUUCCACGUGUGGAAGGCUGAUAGUAUGGUAAGAAUAAGCAUCGGCUAACUUCGUGCCAGCAGCCGCGGUAAGACGAAGGAUGCAAGCGUUAUCCGGAUUCAUUGGGUUUAAAGGGUGCGUAGGCGGACCAGUAAGUCAGUGGUGAAAUCUCUUUGCUUAACAAAGAAACUGCCAUUGAUACUGCUAGUCUAGAGUAUAGAUGACGUUGGCGGAAUAUGACAUGUAGUGGUGAAAUACUUAGAUAUGUCAUAGAACACCGAUUGCGAAGGCAGCUAACGAAACUAUAACUGACGCUGAGGCACGAAAGUGUGGGGAUCAAACAGGAUUAGAUACCCUUGUAGUC
rnacentral:rRNA from 1 species